rnacentral:lncRNA from 1 species
UCACCCUCCAUAAAGUCUGCUCUGCCUUCCUCAAUCUCCAUAAUAACUUCCCUAGCAGAACUUUGUCGAAUACUCAAGGGUCUUUCACCCAAAUCCUUCCCUAAAACCUCAUUCUUCUCCACCUCUAGGUUUCUAAUCCAAGUGGUAAGUGAAAACUCAUAUUUUCUUACCUCCUCUACCUAUAUCUUCCUCUCAUCUUGUAAUAGUAGGAUUUCUCGCAUUCCUAAUUACAGGAAUGGAAUCAUUUUAAUCCACCUCCUUCGCCGCACACGCUUCUUACAAUUGUAUUUGUUAUGAUAUUCAGUUUAGUUUCCGAAGACACACUAUAUCCACUUCCCAUUCAUUAUCACCUGCAUAAUGACUAUUUUGAGUGGUUCGUUCAUCCUCUCACAUUCUAAGAUAAAAUCUUAACAUCCAUGGAUGACAUCUUUAUCCCUUUCCCCUCAGCCUCUUCAACCCAUUCCUCUCCCUUACACCAAGCCUUCUCUCAUACACCACUACUUUACCCCUUCCUUCUUGCGCUUCCCCCUAUCUCCUUUCUCACCCCACCCAUCUCUCGGCUCUCUCAUCACCACUAACUCCUUUUAACUUUGAUUCUAUGUUAGCUAACAACUCAAUAAAACUAUCUUCCUUUCUCACCUAAGAAACUUCGAAAUAUUCUUCCAAAACUAAGUAUUUUGCGUUACUGAUUUUUCCAACCUCCUCCACCCUUUGAUGAUUGCUAAAAUUUAGGGCAUCUUCCUCCACUUUCACAUUUUGACCCCGUUUGGAGCAGCCAACAAUCACAGGCAUGGCCUUUUUCGGUGCCAAGGCAAAACAAUCUUUUUGCUAGUUUGCUUUUUAGUUUGGUAUCGCUGGCACCUGGCACCACUUUGGUCCCCUUUGUGAACAUUUCCUAUAGUUUAUGGGCCUUUUGGGAUAACACUAAUCGUUCCGAAUGAAUGUAUACCCUCUUUCGUGGCUAGAAGGCCGAGCAAAGGAGCCCUGACAGUAAGAGUUGCUUAAAGUGUAGGUGUAUUGGCCCUUUCCAAGUUCGACCCCACCCUCCCUGUUUCCUUUAGGUUGGUGAUGUUUGGCCAAAAGUCUGUAUAUUUAUAUAUGAAUCACCUCACAUUUCGCUCUAUUCUUGUUGGUUCUAAUGUGUAAUUGACAAUUGCAAUGAGUUAAGCUAACUUUUGGUGUUUAUAUGUAUAGGAAUCAAUUGGGAAUGAAAUGGAUUGAAUGCGCAUGAGUUGGAGCUAAAAAGGAAGAAAAUGGACAAGUGCCGAAUUCUAGCGUCCAAGGUAGCGUGACGCACUACUUGUGGCGCUAGAAAUAGAAGAACAAUAUUUUCAGUGCCCAGGCUAGCGCGACGCGCUGCCCAGGACGCACAAUCUCGAGAAUUAUCCUAUUUCAACUUGGAGAAGAUCUUUUCGAAUCCUAGACACCCCUAACUUGUAUAAAAAGGGUUUUAAACCUAAUUUUUGAGGGGAAGACGCCACUUUGAAGGAGAAUUCACAUUGGGAACACGUUGAAGCAAGCUUUCAACUAGUUUCUCUUCUCUUCUUUUCUCUUCUCUUCUCUUCCUUUAAUCUCAUAGUUUAUUAGUUCUAGAAUUGUGGGUGCUACAUGAACGUUGUAGUUUGAAGUUUGAAUUAUUCUUAUUAAUUUAUCGUAU